rnacentral:rRNA from 1 species
UUAAACAGAACUGUGGGGGCACAGACAGGGAAUGGAAUCCGGGAAUGGAUAUCCCGGUGCAAGCGAGGUAGGAGUGCUGCUGGCAAAUCCGCAGCACGAUCUGAAGACGUGACGCGUACCGAACAUAAGUAGGGAAGUCCAGGCCCCUGGCUGUCAAGAAAAGCCGCUAUCGUUUUAUAUGUGCCCGUACCGCAAACCGACACAGGUGGAUGAGGAGAGAAUCCUAAGGCCGACGGGAGAAGUAUUGUUAAGGAACUCGGCAAAAUGACUCCGUAACUUCGGGAGAAGGAGUGCCAUGAGAGUGGCCGCAGAGAAAUGGCCCAAGCAACUGUUUAGCAAAAACACAGGUCUAUGCAAAACCGCAAGGUGAAGUAUAUGGGCUGACGCCUGCCCGGUGCUGGAAGGUUAAUGGGAGAGGUUAGCGCAAGCGAAGCUUUGAACUUAAGCCCCAGUAAACGGCGGCCGUAACAAUAACGGUCCUAAGGUAGCGAAAUUCCUUGUCGGGUAAGUUCCGACCCGCACGAAAGGCGUAAUGAUUUGGGCACUGUCUCAACGAUACACCCGGUGAAAUUGAAAUACCAGUGAAGAUGCUGGUUACCUGCGCCAGGACGGAAAGACCCCAUGGAGCUUUACUCCAGUUUGAUACUGGGAUUCGGCAUGGUAUGUACAGGAUAGGUGGGAGACUGAGAAGGUAUGACGUCAGUUGUACCGGAGUCGCUGUUGGGAUACCACCCUUACCAUGUUGGAUUUCUAACCUGUGGCCGUAAGCCGGUCAGGGGACAAUGUCAGGCGGGGAGUUUGACUGGGGCGGUCGCCUCCGAAAGGGUAUCGGAGGCGCUCAAAGGUUCCCUCAGAAUGGUUGGAAACCAUUCGAAGAGUGCAAAGGCAGAAGGGAGCUUGACUGUGACACCGACGGGUGGAGCAGGUACGAAAGUAGGACUUAGUGAUCCGGUGGUAUAAAGUGGGAUUGCCAUCGCUCAACGGAUAAAAGCUACCCUGGGGAUAACAGGCUUAUCACUCCCAAGAGUUCACAUCGACGGAGUGGUUUGGCACCUCGAUGUCGGCUCAUCGCAUCCUGGAGCUGUAGCAGGUUCCAAGGGUUGGGCUGUUCGCCCAUUAAAGCGGUACGCGAGCUGGGUUCAGAACGUCGUGAGACAGUUCGGUCCCUAUCCGGCGCAGGCGCAGGAAAUUUGAUAGGAGCUGUCCUUAGUACGAGAGGACCGGGAUGGACGGACCGCUGGUGUAUCUGUUGUACUGCCAAGUGCAUAGCAGAGUAGCCAAGUCUGGAAGGGAUAAACGCUGAAGGCAUCUAAGCGUGAAGCCCCCCUAAAGAUAAGAUUUCCCAUACCGAAAGGUAGUAAGACCCCUUGAAGACGACGAGGUAGAUAGGGCAGAGGUGGAAGUACGGUAACGUAUGGAGCUGACUGUUACUAAUCGGUCGAGGCUUU